rnacentral:rRNA from 1 species
GACGAACGCUGGCGGCGUGCCUAAUACAUGCAAGUUGAGCGCUGAAGGUUGGUACUUGUACCAACUGGAUGAGCAGCGAACGGGUGAGUAACGCGUGGGGAAUCUGCCUUUGAGCGGGGGACAACAUUUGGAAACGAAUGCUAAUACCGCAUAAAAACUUUAAACACAAGUUUUAAGUUUGAAAGAUGCAAUUGCAUCACUCAAAGAUGAUCCCGCGUUGUAUUAGCUAGUUGGUGAGGUAAAGGCUCACCAAGGCGAUGAUACAUAGCCGACCUGAGAGGGUGAUCGGCCACAUUGGGACUGAGACACGGCCCAAACUCCUACGGGAGGCAGCAGUAGGGAAUCUUCGACAAUGGACGAAAGUCUGACCGAGCAACGCCGCGUGAGUGAAGAAGGUUUUCGGAUCGUAAAACUCUGUUGGUAGAGAAGAACGUUGGUGAGAGUGGAAAGCUCAUCAAGUGACGGUAACUACCCAGAAAGGGACGGCUAACUACGUG